rnacentral:lncRNA from 1 species
UCUGUACCAGGGAAGAAAGUGGUCAGUCAGAAACUCCACAUACUUUGCAGAGGUCAUCUUUACACCUUCAGGGACCCUAAAGGGGCCGACCAGCUUUCUUCCCAUGAUUCCGGCCCAAAACAUGACUCCACCACUGCCUUGCUGACGUCACAGCCUUGUUGGAACAGGGUGGCUGUCCAUCAACCAUCCACUACUCCAUCCAUCUGAACCAUCCAGGGUUGCACGGCACUCAUAAGUGAACAGGACUGUUUGAAAACUAGUCUUCAUGUAUUUUUCUGCCCAAUGCAGCCAUUUCUGCUUGUGAGCAUUGGUUAGUGGUGGCCGAAUAGAAGGUACCAGCAACUCCAGAGGCAC